rnacentral:rRNA from 1 species
UGAGGAAUUUUGCGCAAUGGGAGCAAUCCUGACGCAGCAACGCCGCGUGGGUGAAGAAGGCCUUCGGGUCGUAAAGCCCUGUCAGGUGGGAAGAAAGGUUCCGCCAAGAAACGGGUGGGAUUUGACGGUACCACCAGAGGAAGCACAGGCUAACUCCGUGCCAGCAGCCGCGGUAAUACGGAGGGUGCGAGCGUUAUUCGGAAUUACUGGGCGUAAAGCGCGUGCAGGCGGAGAGGCAAGUCUGAUGUGAAAGCCCUGGGCGUAACCCGGGAAGUGCAUUGGAAACUGUCUUUCU